rnacentral:lncRNA from 1 species
CAACGCAUCACCGGGGGCAAACUACCUGCCCUCCAGGACACCUACACCACCCAAUGUCACAGGAAGGCCAAAAAGAUCAUCAAGGACAACAACCACCCGAGCCACUGCCUGUUCACCCCGCUAUCAUCCAGAAGUGUCCCCGACCCUGAGCAGCCACUCACCCCAAGACGCUCCAGUCGCCUGCAAACCGCUCACACACACACGCUGCCUGACAACACACACAUGCUGUGUGACAACACACACACGCUGCGUGACAACACACACACGCUGCCUGACAACACACACACGCUGCCUGACAACACACACACGCUGCCUGACAACACACACACGCUGCGUGACAACACACACACGGCCCAGGAAGUGGCUGCAGGACAGGUGUGUGUGGUAGGAGACUCCUCUUUAGACCCUGGAGAGGAGAUGCCUCAGGUGCUGGAAGCUCUGGAUCCUGGAGGGAUGAAAUUAACACAUGGGGUAGAGAUGGGGGUAUCUUUAAUCCGGAG